UGACAGCCAGGUGUCUGAAGGGCCGAGAGCCUGAGGCCGGGACCCAGCCCCAGGCACGAACUUGUUCCUAGCCCCUGCUUUAGAAAGGUGCGGGACCCAUUCUUUGCGGCACCAAGGAGAUUAGUAGUUUUGUUUUGAGAAAGGGUCUCACGUCGCAGACUGGCCUCGAAAUUGCCAGUUAAUGCUGGUCCCUGUAACAACAACUGAAUGGUUAACUGGAUUGAGUAUGACAUUGACGACACAGAGAAAUUGCUAAAGCAGACAGGAGAAGGAAGAACAGGGGAGAAUCUGGAAGGAGAGCAUAUGGAGUUCCUGGUACAGGAGAGUGUGGACACUUCACACUGGCCACCCCACGCCCUUCACGGUGUAUUCACUGGGGCCCAGGAGAUCCUGUGUGCUGGGAAGCUGGGAGCAGAAAUGCAGACUUCCGGACUAUGAUGCAACCCAACGCAUGCCUGCAAAUCUUCUGGCCAAGGUGGGAAUCUGGGGCGGGGAGCAGCGGACCCAGCCUGGGUGCCUUGUUGGCCCUCCACGUUCGGCCCUGGAGGGUCCACAUCGCCUUCAUCACGCAGGAAGCAGAACUGGGGACCCGGUCUGGCCCUGUUUUAGACCGCGCGCGCCGCCAGCUGCGGAGGCGCCGAGGGACCAGAAUAACUAGUCGCCUGGAUGCUCAGUCACCCCCGCAAGGAGCCUGCGAAGCUCUGCCUGCUCUGGGGCCACGUGAGCAGCUUGUUUAUCUGCUUCCCCACCCACACCAGGGAGCAGAAGGAUGCAGAAUGACAGACACAAAAUGACCAUAACGGGGGCUAGGGUGGGGACUAGGAAAGGGUUUGAGGACGGAGGGUGCAGGGAGAAGCUUUGGGCGCCCCUUAGGCAGACUUGGAUUUAUUCCCAAGGGAUGAACUCUGAGGAGGAGCUGCCUUUACUGCCUUUUAUUUCAAAAUAAAGAUAGGGGCAGAGGCUCAGGGACUAGAGUGCUUGUAGCUCACUCACUUGGCAAGGUGACACAAUUUGCCGUUGGCUGAGGAGGAUCGUGAGUUCAUCAUCCUGGACCGCUAAAGUGAGACUGUCUCAGGCAGAUCUUACAUAGUGAGCUCCAGGACAGCCCAGGGCUACAGAGAGCCUGCCCCAAAAACACGUGCACGCGUGUGUGUGAGUGGUGUGUGUGUGAAAUGGAAAAUGAAAGGACAGGCAGAGGGAAACAGCGUGAAUAUUUUUUUGUUUUUGAAGACAGGGUUUCUCUGUGUAGCCCUGGCUGUCCUGGA